rnacentral:lncRNA from 1 species
AGGAACUGAAAACUUAUAUGUACCUUUAUACUAAUAUUGCUUCUGUACACACUUGUGGCAAAUUAAGGCUUUACCUAAUAAUUUUGUCAGAUUAUUCUGAGAAGUUUUAAAUCAGUACAGAUGCUUCUAAGGAAUGUGCAGUGUCAGAAAAUCUGUUUCAUUAACCAUAGGAACAUAAUAAAGAGAGGCCUAAAUUCAAUAGUUUCAAACAGUCUACAGCUUCCUCACAAGGGGGAGCAGGGUGAAAUGCUGAUUUAUUCUUUUUGGUGGCCAGGACCCAUGGGAUGGCAUGAAGCCAUAUCAGUGGAAUUUCAGGUUGGAUAUUAGGAACAGGUUCUUCACCAAGAGUGUGUUUGGGCACUAGAACAGACACCUACAUUAUGUACUCAUCCUGUCUGGGGCAGGAAGUGAUAAAGUAGACAGUCUGUCUUUCCUCCUGGAUAAUUUCACUGACCACAAAAUUCAGGUAACUUCCUUACGUAUGAGUGGCUGAAGUCACUCAGUUUGUUCAGCCCAGAGAAGAGGGGAGGCCUCAUGGCGGCCUGCAGCUCCCUCACAAGGGGAGUGGAGGGGCAGGUGCUGAGCUCUGCUCUCUGGGGACAGCGACAGGACCCAAGGAAAUGGCACAGAACUGGGUCAGGCUGGGUGUUAGGAAAAGGUUCUUCACCAAGACAGUGGUCAGGUACUGGGACAGGCUCCUCAGGGCAGUGGUCAUGACACCAAGACUGACAGAGUUCAAGAGACAUUUGGACAAUUCUCUGAGUUACAUGAACUGGUUUUUGUUUGUUUUUUUUUGUUUGUUUGUUUUUGUGUGGUCUUGUUUGGAUCCAGGAGUUGGACUCCAUGAUUCUUGUGGAUAUUCUAUGAUUCUGUUCUAUGAUUCCACAGGUACUAGUACCAUUGAGGUAUCCAGCCUCACCUGCAGCAAUUACUCCAGAAACUCCACAGGAAAAUGAAGUUUUUGGAACUGAUCAUCUUCAUCAAUGGAGUGAUGCAUUGGUUUAAAUCUGGAAACACAAUGAACCUUUGGUGUAACUGGUUGCUAAAUCUCAUCUAAGCCCAGGACACCUACCACACACCCUCAGAAAGUGCACUUCAGUUCUGGUAUGAAACAUAGGAAGUUAAGUUGCUCUCCUUCAAAAAGGUAGAGAAUAUAAAUAUGAAUCAUGGUAAAUAAAUGAGAUGACUUUCUGGCA